rnacentral:rRNA from 1 species
GACAGAGGGUGCAAACGUUGCUCGGAAUCACUGGGCGUAAAGGGCGCGUAGGCGGUUAUAUAAGUGAGAUGUGAAAUCCCUGGGCUUAACCUAGGAACUGCAUCUCAUACUGUAUGACUGGAGUAUUGUAGAGGGUAGUGGAAUUUCCGGUGUAGCGGUGAAAUGCGUAGAGAUCGGAAGGAACACCAGUGGCGAAGGCGGCUACCUGGACAAAUACUGACGCUGAGGCGCGAGAGCGUGGGGAGCAAACAGG